UAGGGAAUCUUCGGCAAUGGGGGCAACCCUGACCGAGCAACGCCGCGUGAGUGAAGAAGGUUUUCGGAUCGUAAAGCUCUGUUGUAAGAGAAGAACGAGUGUGAGAGUGGAAAGUUCACACUGUGACGGUAACUUACCAGAAAGGGACGGCUAACUACGUGCCAGCAGCCGCGGUAAUACGUAGGUCCCGAGCGUUAUCCGGAUUUAUUGGGCGUAAAGCGAGCGCAGGCGGUUAGAUAAGUCUGAAGUUAAAGGCUGUGGCUUAACCAUAGUACGCUUUGGAAACUGUUUAACUUGAGUGCAGAAGGGGAGAGUGGAAUUCCAUGUGUAGCGGUGAAAUGCGUAGAUAUAUGGAGGAACACCGGUGGCGAAAGCGGCUCUCUGGUCUGUAACUGACGCUGAGGCUCGAAAGCGUGGGGAGCAAACAGGAUUAGAUACCCUGGUAGUCCACGCCGUAAACGAUGAGUGCUAGGUGUUGGGUCCUUUCCGGGACUCAGUGCCGCAGCUAACGCAUUAAGCGCUCCGCCUGGGGAGUACGACCGCAAGGUUG
rnacentral:rRNA from 1 species